CCUACGGGAGGCAGCAGUAGGGAAUCUUCGGCAAUGGACGAAAGUCUGACCGAGCAACGCCGCGUGAGUGAAGAAGGUUUUCGGAUCGUAAAACUCUGUUGGUGGAGAAGAACGUUGGUGAGAGUGGAAAGAUCAUCAAGUGACGGUAACUACCGAGAAAGGGACGGCUAACUACGUGCCAGCAGCCGCGGUAAUACGUAGGUCCCGAGCGUUGUCCGGAUUUUUUGGGCGUAAAGGGAGCGCAGGUGGGUGUUUAGGUCGGGGCGAAAGGGCAGGGGCUCAACCAUUGUAUGCGUUGGAAACUGGUAGACUUGAGUGCAGGAGAGGAGAGUGGAAUUCCAGGUGUAGCGGUGAAAUGCGUAGAUAUAUGGAGGAACACCGGUGGCGAAAGCGGCUCUCUGGCCUGUAACUGACACUGAGGCUCGAAAGCGUGGGGAGCAAACAGGAUUAGAUACCCGAGUAGUC
rnacentral:rRNA from 1 species